UUGCUUCAGCAGCACACACACCAAUAUUGGAAUGACACAAAGAACAACAGCAUGGACCCUGCACAAGGAUGACACGCACAGUGGUGACACGUUCCAUGUUUUU